AUGGUUGCCGGUGCGGCUGGCGUGGUGCUUUUCAAUAACGAAGCCACCGGUUACACCAUUGCUCUUCACAACUACAAGGCGAGAGUGGUGCAGGUGACCUCCGCCGACGGCAUCACCAUUGCGGCUUACGUAAAGUCAGCAGCGAACGCCGUGGCCACUUUCACAUGCAACAACACAGUGUUGGGUGUUCGUCCGAGCCCGGUCGUGGCGUCAUUCUCUUCCAGGGGUCCAAGCUCUAUCGCCCGCGGCGUGCUCAAGCCAGACAUUCUUGCGCCAGGGCUCAACAUCCUUGCGGCGUGGCGAGGGCCUUCUUUCAAAAUUGUAUCAGGUACGUCCAUGGCAACACCACACAUCAGCGGCGUGGCAGCGCUCAUCAAAAGCUUGCAUCCCAACUGGUCACCGGCUGCCAUCAAGUCGGCCAUCCUGACAACGUCAGACACCACGAACAACAUCGACGGCUCGAUCUUGAAUGAGAGGCAUGGUAAAGCCAGUGCCUACGAUAGAGGCGCCGGCCAUGUGAAUCCCGCGAGAGCCGCCGACCCUGGUCUGGUGUACGACCUCGGCGCGACUGACUAUGCAGGCUACAUCUGCUGGCUCUUCGGCGACGAAGGCUUGCGGACCAUUGUACGCAACUCGAGCUUGACCUGCGCGAAGCUGCCCAAGGUCAAGGACGUUCAGCUCAACUACCCUACUCUAACUGUGCCGCUAGCAUCAACGCCUUUCACCGUGACCCGGACAGUGACGAACGUCGGGCCGGCACAUUCUACUUACGCCGCCAAGGUAGACUCACCAAGCUCUAUGAAAGUGCGCGUCUCCCCAGAGACACUGGUGUUCUCCAUGGCUGGAGAAAAGAAGACGUUCAGCGUGACAGUGAUCUGCCAAGGCGUGGGUGCAUCGGAAAUCUUUGUGGAGGGAAGCUUGAGCUGGGUGUCAAAGAAGCAUGUUGUGCGCAGUCCCAUUGUGGCUAUCCGUGGAGCAGGAGGUCCUGCUCCCGCUCCAUCACCAUGA
rnacentral:rRNA from 1 species